rnacentral:rRNA from 1 species
GUCCACACCGUAAACGUUGGGCGCUAGGUGUGGGAUCCAUUCCACGGGUUCCGUGCCGCAGCUAACGCAUUAAGCGCCCCGCCUGGGUAGUACGGCCGCAAGGCUAAAACUCAAAGGAAUUGACGGGGGCCCGCACAAGCGGCGGAGCAUGCGGAUUAAUUCGAUGCAACGCGAAGAACCUUACCUGGGUUUGACAUACAGAGAAAACCAUCAGAGAUGGUGGGUCCGUAAGGGUUCUGUACAGGUGGUGCAUGGCUGUCGU